UACGUAGGGUGCGAGCGUUAAUCGGAAUUACUGGGCGUAAAGCGUGCGCAGGCGGUUUUGCAAGCCAGCUGUGAAAUCCCCGGGCUUAACCUGGGAAUGGCAUUUGGGACUGCAAGGCUGGAGUGCGGCAGAGGAGACUGGAAUUCCUGGUGUAGCAGUGAAAUGCGUAGAUAUCAGGAGGAACACCGAUGGCGAAGGCAGGUUUCUGGGCUGACACUGACGCUCAUGCACGAAAGCGUGGGGAGCAAACAGG
rnacentral:rRNA from 1 species